rfam:Oryza barthii chromosome 5, whole genome shotgun sequence.
AAUAAGUGCAGCCAUGACUUUCAGCGCUCAAUUUUAAUCGUCCGUCUUAUUUGAAUUUUUUUUAUAAUUAGCAAUUUUGUUGUUAUAAGAUGAUAAAACAUGAAUACUACUUUACUUGUGACUUAUGAGUGGUCAAAGUUGGACAUGGAAAACCAUGGCUGCACUUAUU